AUGAAGGAUAGGCUAAGGGGCAGAAAGACAUGGCAAGAGGCAAGUGAAUAGUCGGUACCUAGACUGGUUAGCCAAGGUGUUUAUGGUGUCGAUCCAGUUUUGGCUGCUUUGUCAGCUGGAAGAAGAGAAUUUUAUACGUUGUAUGUUCAGGAAGGCUUGAAUUUGAGCAAUAAUAAUAGGAAGAAGAAGGACAAGAAGGGAUUUGAGAGAGUCUUUAGGAUGGCUGAAAAUUUUGGGGUGACCAUAAAGGAAUUGCGCAAGCAUGAUCUUAAUAUGGCUGCUGAUAAUCGACCCCAUCAGGGUCUGCUUCUAGAUUCUUCCCCAUUGGAGAUGGUUAAAAUUAAGGAAUUGGACCCUAUUUCAGUCGAGGAAGAUAAGGGUAGCUUUGGAUGAGGUUACAGAUCCUCAAAAUUUGGGGGCAAUCAUCAGGUCCUCUUACUAUUUUGGAGCUGCAGGGGUGGUGUUAUGUGCAAAGAAUUCAGCUCCGCUGAGUGGUGUUGUGAGUAAAGCGAGUGCAGGCUCACUUGAGUUAAUGGAGUUGCGAUAUUGCAAGAACAUGAUGCAGUUUCUAACAUCCUCAGCUGAAAAUGGUUGGCGUGUUCUUGGCGGUUCUGUUUCUAGCAAAGCUAUUCCCUUGAAUGAGAUAGUACCUAGUGAACCAACCAUUCUUGUUCUGGGUAGUGAGGGCACUGGGUUGAGGCCUUUGGUGGAAAGAUCUUGCACUCAAUUGAUUAGAAUUCCUGGAAGCAUUCCUGUGGAUGCAACUGCCGGAGGAUUUGAUGAUAGUGAAUCCGUUGAAGUGAAUCAUGGGUGCUCUGCUGAAGAGUUCAGGUCAUUUUUGGCUGUGGAGAGCUUAAAUGUCAAGUGUUGCAGCUGGCGUGCUUCUUCAUCACUUACUGGGAAACAAUGAGAAGAGUGAAGUUCAUGCGGUUGCUCAGCAGAAUAACGGACUGGAUCAAGAUUCUACACCCCAUUAAAUUUAUUAGACUAGAUUAAGCUAGUGUCUUUAUAGAAUGAUUCCCAUUUUACAUUGCUCCGUAUGAAAUGGUCAUUUAUAUUU